rnacentral:rRNA from 1 species
CGCUGGCGGCGUGCCUAAUACAUGCAAGUCGAGCGGAAUGAUGAAGAAGCUUGCUUCUUCUGAUUUUAGCGGCGGACGGGUGAGUAACACGUGGGCAACCUACCUUGUAGAUUGGGAUAACUCCGGGAAACCGGGGCUAAUACCGAAUAAUCCAUUUUGCUUCAUGGCGAGAUGUUGAAAGGCGGCUUCGGCUGUCACUACGAGAUGGGCCCGCGGCGCAUUAGCUAGUUGGUAGGGUAAUGGCCUACCAAGGCGACGAUGCGUAGCCGACCUGAGAGGGUGAUCGGCCACACUGGGACUGAGACACGGCCCAGACUCCUACGGGAGGCAGCAGUAGGGAAUCUUCCACAAUGGACGAAAGUCUGAUGGAGCAACGCCGCGUGAGUGAAGAAGGUUCUCGGAUCGUAAAACUCUGUUGUAAGGGAAGAACACGUACGAGAGUAACUGCUCGUACCUUGACGGUACCUUAUUAGAAAGCCACGGCUAACUACGUG